CAGCAGCCGCGGUAACACGUAGGUCCCGAGCGUUGUCCGGAUUUAUUGGGCGUAAAGCGAGCGCAGGCGGCUAGAUAAGUCUGAAGUUAAAGGCUGUGGCUUAACCAUAGUAUGCUUUGGAAACUGUUUAACUUGGGUGCAGAAGGGGAGAGUGGAAUUCCACGUGUAGCGGUGAAAUGCGUAGAUGUAUGGAGGAACACCGGUGGCGAAAGCGGCUCUCUGGUCUGUAACUGACGCUGAGGCUCGAAAGCGUGGGGAGCAAACAGGAUUAGAUACCCCCGUAGUCCCUGUCUCUUAUACU
rnacentral:rRNA from 1 species